AGUGAGGUCGCGUCAUCACUAUGGUCGUCUGUCGGCGCCUGCCAUGUGCGAGCGUUCGGUCGGUAUGUUCAGGAAGCAGCAGGCGAUUAGUACGAGUUGUAAGUACUUCUAUGGGCAUCCUGGCUGAACUGGUUACCAUGCAGGCUACUCCAGCACAAAACAGGAAUUGGGGACUAAAGUUAGUAGUAAGCUGAUGGCCCACUGACUUUAAAAGAAAAUGGACAAAGCAUCUAGUGAAGUUCUCCUGGAAGACAUUGCAGAAGAUACAAUGUGUUUAUGUACAGAUUUUUAGUAUCCUCAGGCAAUCUGGCAGAAGUUAAAAGAAUUUUACUACAUCUCCACUAGGGAUUGCUUCACUGACUACCUGGUUGUGAUAUCUGCAUCUAUUGAUAUAAAAGCUGCAUUUAUGUAACUAUUGGAAAUCAGUCCCGAAACAUUAAAAAAAUUCUUGUUUCACCUCACCACCUGCACAACAUGAAACUAUUCCCUCAGAA